rnacentral:rRNA from 1 species
GACGAACGCUGGCGGCGUGCUUAACACAUGCAAGUCGAACGGAAAGGCCUCUUUCGGGGGGUACUCGAGUGGGGCACGGGUGAGUAACACGUGAGUAACAUGCCCUUGACUUUGGGAUAACUUCAGGAAACUGGGGCUAAUACACGAUAGGAGCUCCUGCUGCAUGGUGGGGGUUGGAAAGUUUCGGGGGUUGGGGUUGGGUUCGCGGCUUAUAACCUUGUUGGUGGGGUAUUGGCUUACCACAGGUUUGACGGGUAGCCGGCCUGGGAGGGUGACCGGGCACAUUGGGACUGGGAUACGGCCCAGACUCCUACGGGAGGGAACAGGGGGGAAUAAUGCACCAUGGGGGGAAGCCCGGUGCAGCAACGCCGGGGGGGGGAUGACGGGCUUCGGGGUGGAAACCGCUUUCGGUCAUGACGAAGCUGUGUGUGACGGUAGUGGGUAAAGAAGCACCGGCUAACUACGUG